AUUGAACGCUAGCGGGAUGCUUUACACAUGCAAGUCGAACGGUAGCACGAAGAAAGCUUGCUUUCUUUGGUGACGAGUGGCGAACGGGUGAGUAAUGUAUCGGAACGUACCCAGUAGCGGGGGAUAACUACGCGAAAGCGUGGCUAAUACCGCAUACGCCCUACGGGGGAAAGGGGGGGAUCGCAAGACCUCUCACUAUUGGAGCGGCCGAUAGCGGAUUAGCUAGUUGGUGGGGUAAAGGCCCACCAAGGCGACGAUCCGUAGCUGGUUUGAGAGGAAGACCAGCCACACUGGGAGUGAGGAGCGGCCCAGACUCCUACGGGAGGCAGCAGUGGGGAAUUUUGGACAAUGGGGGCAACCCGGAUCCAGCCAUCCCGCGUGUGCGAUGAAGGCCUUCGGGUUGUAAAGCACUUUUGGCAGAGAAGAAACGACUCUGGAUAAUACCCGGGGUUAAUGACGGUAUCUGCAGAAUAAGCACCGGCUAACUACGUGCCAGCAGCCGCCGCAG
rnacentral:rRNA from 1 species